GAUGAACGCUGGCGGCGUGCCUAAUACAUGCAAGUCGAGCGAACGGACGAGAAGCUUGCUUCUCUGAUGUUAGCGGCGGACGGGUGAGUAACACGUGGAUAACCUACCUAUAAGACUGGGAUAACUUCGGGAAACCGGAGCUAAUACCGGAUAAUAUUUUGAACCGCAUGGUUCAAAAGUGAAAGACGGUCUUGCUGUCACUUAUAGAUGGAUCCGCGCUGCAUUAGCUAGUUGGUAAGGUAACGGCUUACCAAGGCAACGAUGCAUAGCCGACCUGAGAGGGUGAUCGGCCACACUGGAACUGAGACACGGUCCAGACUCCUACGGGAGGCAGCAGUAGGGAAUCUUCCGCAAUGGGCGAAAGCCUGACGGAGCAACGCCGCGUGAGUGAUGAAGGUCUUCGGAUCGUAAAACUCUGUUAUUAGGGAAGAACAUAUGUGUAAGUAACUGUGCACAUCUUGACGGUACCUAAUCAGAAAGCCACGGCUAACUACGUGCCAGCAGCCGCGGUAAUACGUAGGUGGCAAGCGUUAUCCGGAAUUAUUGGGCGUAAAGCGCGCGUAGGCGGUUUUUUAAGUCUGAUGUGAAAGCCCACGGCUCAACCGUGGAGGGUCAUUGGAAACUGGAAAACUUGAGUGCAGAAGAGGAAAGUGGAAUUCCAUGUGUAGCGGUGAAAUGCGCAGAGAUAUGGAGGAACACCAGUGGCGAAGGCGACUUUCUGGUCUGUAACUGACGCUGAUGUGCGAAAGCGUGGGGAUCAAACAGGAUUAGAUACCCUGGUAGUCCACGCCGUAAACGAUGAGUGCUAAGUGUUAGGGGGUUUCCGCCCCUUAGUGCUGCAGCUAACGCAUUAAGCACUCCGCCUGGGGAGUACGACCGCAAGGUUGAAACUCAAAGGAAUUGGCGGGGACCCGCACAAGCGGUGGAGCAUGUGGUUUAAUUCGAAGCAACGCGAAGAACCUUACCAAAUCUUGACAUCCUUUGACAACUCUAGAGAUAGAGCCUUCCCCUUCGGGGGACAAAGUGACAGGUGGUGCAUGGUUGUCGUCAGCUCGUGUCGUGAGAUGUUGGGUUAAGUCCCGCAACGAGCGCAACCCUUAAACUUAGUUGCCAUCAUUAAGUUGGGCACUCUAAGUUGACUGCCGGUGACAAACCGGAGGAAGGUGGGGAUGACGUCAAAUCAUCAUGCCCCUUAUGAUUUGGGCUACACACGUGCUACAAUGGACAAUACAAAGGGCAGCGAAACCGUGAGGUCAAGCAAAUCCCAUAAAGUUGUUCUCAGUUCGGAUUGUAGUCUGCAACUCGAGUACAUGAAGCUGGAAUCGGUAGUAAUCGUAGAUCAGCAUGGUACGGUGAAUACGUUCCCGG
rnacentral:rRNA from 1 species